rnacentral:lncRNA from 1 species
CGGCGGCAACUGCAGCGCGAUCAGAGUCGGGCGGGAGUCGCGCGACAGGACGAGAUCGUCGCGAACGUCGUGGCGGCCGCCGAGGCCGCCGUCGGGCACGUGCCCAGGAAGUGGGCCAAUGUGCGCGCCUUCCAUAUCAAGGCCGCCGAGUCGCUGGCCCUGCCCAUCUACUACGACCCCGCCUCCGGAAUGAGAAUCGAGAGCAAAACCAAGGACGAAGUUAUAGCCAACGAAGAUUCUACCGAGAAGAAGCUUAAAAAAAGAAAGAGAAGCAUGGAAUCUGAAUGACUGCCGAUUCUCGGAGCAGUCGAAUAUAAAUUCAUACAUUCAUACAUUAGGAUGAGUUGCAUAACUUUUUUUUUUUUCUUAAAUUCACUUGUUAUCUUGGCCUUUUGAAUGAGGAGAUCUUGUAGAAUCUUGUGCUUGUAUUUGGUUCUCUCGUAUGAUACUACUGAUGUCAAACUAUUGUACAAGCUUCAAUCAGUUCUUGUAGUAUUCAUAGAUUGAGAUCUUAGUAGUUAGUAGGAGUCCAUGAGUUAGCUGAAUUUGUGAUAUCGUUUAUGGAUUAGUACUCGUGAGUUUGAAAAUGUCGUUAAUUAUGCAUUUCCUGAUCUCCUCAGAAGAUUUUACUAUGUACUCCUUGACCUGUAUUAUCUUGAUUUAGUUGUCUAGUUUUUAGUGCAAGUUUAGG